GAUGAACGCUGGCGGCGUGCCUAAUACAUGCAAGUCGAGCGAACAGACGAGGAGCUUGCUCCUCUGACGUUAGCGGCGGACGGGUGAGUAACACGUGGAUAACCUACCUAUAAGACUGGGAUAACUUCGGGAAACCGGAGCUAAUACCGGAUAAUAUAUUGAACCGCAUGGUUCAAUAGUGAAAGACGGUUUUGCUGUCACUUAUAGUUGGAUCCGCGGCGCAUUAGCUAGUUGGUAAGGUAACGGCUUACCAAGGCGACGAUGCGUAGCCGACCUGAGAGGGUGAUCGGCCACACUGGAACUGAGACACGGUCCAGACUCCUACGGGAGGCAGCAGUAGGGAAUCUUCCGCAAUGGGCGAAAGCCUGACGGAGCAACGCCGCGUGAGUGAUGAAGGUCUUCGGAUCGUAAAACUCUGUUAUUAGGGAAGAACAAAUGUGUAAGUAACUAUGCACGUCUUGACGGUACCUAAUCAGAAAGCCACGGCUAACUACGUG
rnacentral:rRNA from 1 species